rnacentral:rRNA from 1 species
UACCAGCACCCCGAGUGGUCGGGACGAUUAUUGGGCCUAAAGCAUCCGUAGCCGGUUCUACAAGUCUUCCGUUAAAUCCAACUGCUUAACAGUUGGGCUGCGGAGGAUACUAUAGAGCUAGGAGGCGGGAGAGGCAAGCGGUACUUAGUGGGUAGGGGUAAAAUCCGUUGAUCCACUGAAGACCACCAGUGGCGAAGGCGGCUUGCCAGAACGCGCUCGACGGUGAGGGAUGAAAGCUGGGGGAGCAAACCGGAUUAGAUACCCCCGUAGUCC